AUCCCAAGAUCUUCCACAGACCUUCAGCCAUCUAGAUGUCCUUUGGUCUCCACUGAAAUGAGUCACCCUGCCUGUGCAGACAAGCUAGCCAUUAGAGAGGGUUGGUUGGGUGUACUCCUUUCAGAAUUUCAGGGUGUCUUCCAAAUGAAAUCUCAAUGUUCGCAGUAUAUAUAUUAAAACAAACAAACAAGCCUGAGAUCCGAUGCCUAGGGGAUGUACUAUUUACUCAGAAACCCAAAAACAUGCCAAUGGAUACUGGCCAUAUUUUGCUUUCCUGACACUUCCUUGGGAAUCUACAAGAGCCUCCCUUCCCCCUCCCCGAGUAAGACCAUUUAAGUGUGUGUUAAACAACUACAAAAUACUCAAUAAAAAGUUUGGCCAAAAUCAACCAUGAAGCUGCAAAAAAACGAUGCUUGCUCUUACUGUUUCAAAUGUUUGCAACUCUGUAGUGUCUCACUUUUAAAGGAACAGCUUGAUUGCAAAGGAGAAAAUAGAUAAGCAAUGAAGUUAUCUCCAACUUCCUAAAGGCUUAUGACUUCUAAAAAGUGAAUCUAUCAGCAUUCCACAUCAGAUUUAAAGCACCAAAUGCCUGUGAAACAGCAAAGAUGGUUGAAUCUAAUGGUCUUACAGUCGUGGAGUGCUGAUUGGUUCACAGUAGAUAAAGCUGGCAGUAAGGAGCCGUCAAAUACUCAGAGUUGUUGAAGGAGAGGAAUGCUGAGACACAGCAGUUGCCUAGCCAGUGCACAUCAGAAUUGGUUUGGUACAGGCAAUAGAUUUUUUUUUUUGUCUUCAAGGGAGGGAGGCUGAUUAAAGUUAAACCUUAAUUAGGGAGUGGCGAUAAUUUAAAAUUGACCCAAUGGAAAGAGGGAGACUAAUUGGUAAGUGGAGGUACCUACCCAAGAAGUUCCAGUGACUCUUUGUAGAUGUUCAGUAGUGAAAAGUUAUAGCACAGUAAUGGGGCAACUCUGCAAUUUAGAGCUGAUGAUCACUGACUAGAAGAAAAUUGAAUUAGCUGGGACUGAAAGUCCAUGGUGGAGUGCUUGCCUAAGUACCAUUGAGGCCCAGAGUUCAACCCCUGGCAGAACACACAGACAUUUCAAUCAGAAACAUUCUACCUCACUGAUGUCUGAUUUUCAUCAAGGAAACCCAUUUGAUGAAUUGCCUCAUUAGUAAGAAACAUUAUUAGUUGUCCUGUAAAAGGAGAAGAGCAGUGCUAGGAAAUGAAAGUCAAAGGUGGAAACAUUGUUAGGCUAGUUAGGAAAACAGAUUGGAACAAAAAUAGGUCACUAGAUCACUGUAGUUUUAUAAAAGACACUAUCCUCAGGUCACCAUCUUGAAAAUGAAUCAUGACUCUACAACUCUAGUUUACUGCUUUGGAAACUAAGAGCCAGAAGCAGGUUGAGUUAUAGGAUCAAAGAAUUUAACUCAACUUCGGAGAUUUUUCUUAGGAAUUUGCUACAAUACUGUUGAGGGAAUUCAAGCCUUCCAUACUCUAAUCAGGCCUGGAGUGGGUUCUUCUGUCAAGACCUUUAGGUUCUUGACAUUUUAUGUACAUUUUUUAGUUUGUCAUGGGCCAUACUACACUAAAUGGAUGUUAAAUUCAAAGUAGGGAGUCGGUAGAAAAUUUGAAAUUUGAGACCUUUUUGACAAAUCGUAAAAUAUAGAACCAUCAGGCCUAAAAUCUGCAAUUAGAAAAGAAAAUUAGCUUUGACUCUUCUGGCUAAACUCUGGUUGUAGAAGAAUUUGAAUAAUACAGAGGGUGCUGUGGUUUAUUUGGUAACUGGAUGUAGAAUCUAGGUAUUAGAGAUCAUUUUUUUUUUGGAAUGUUUUGUAUUGAAACCCAAUAAAACUUUAAUAUGUGUCUUUGUGGUGUUGGGUUCUUUUUUAAAGCCCUUUUUGUAAGUAAAAAUUCAUUUUAGGCUUUUCAGGGUUUUUUUUUCACCUAAUUUUCCUCCCCAAACUUCAGUUCUGGGGCAGUCUUGGUAUUUAGUUUAGGUACGGGGGCAGCCAGGGUCUCUGAGAGGUCUGACCACUGGCCUUCCUCUACUACAACAAGUUAAAACCUUAGGUAAACAUGGUGCUGUCCUUAAUCCUUAACCUAAAAAGGAAAUGAGAGAUAUCAUACCUAAGAAGUAAAGGUGCAUAUACUAAUGGUUUCCCCUGUUGCAUCUACCUUGAUUUCUUGCAUAUCUUGGAAUAUUUUUUUUUCUUUUGAGUUAGAUCCCUAAGGAAGGCUCUUACCUUGAUGGGUAUACGCAGUGAUUCAGAGUAUCAGAUUGGGUUUUUCAGUGUGACCUCUGGGACUACCCUUGUAACAUGCGUAUCCCAUGAUUCAGCUGGCCUUCAGAGCUGCUCUUUCUUGCUAAUUCUGUUUUCUAUCUAGGUUGACGUAGGGAAUGGUUUUCCAGUGAGUUUAAAUUCCAGGCUGGCCUUAAAGUCCCAGAGAUUGACCUGCCUCUGCCUGCUGAGUGCUGGCAUUACAGGUGUGUGCCACCACACCCCGCCUUCAUAUUGAUAUUUUUGAGACAAGGUCCUCACAGGCUGACUUCUCUGUUUUCCCUCUAGAAUGUUAAGUAGGUUUAUACUACACCACACCAGGUUUGGUAGGAAUAGAACUCAGGGCUUAUAUGUUCAUGCAGAUUGUCCCAUCUGUGACUUUUUUAAGCAGAGGAAGGCUUAUUUCUACAGACUGUAGGGCAAGGUGCUUAGGCUUAAGCUGGGAGAAGUCCAGGAAUCAAUGUUCUGCCACAUGAGAGACUUGUUAAGAUUCAGUUGUCACAUCCUGAGUUCUUCACAGCUGAUAUUCAGCAGUAUCUGUCAGAAGAUUAUAAGAAGUAAGCUUUUAUAGAGCUAUUGGGAAGCUCUGAUUCUCAGAGCAACUUGUGCUGAAACUUAAUACACCUGAGCUUGCAAUUUUCUCUGUAAGCACAUGAUAAAAGUCUAGACUUCUCUGAAGGUCUUCCCUACUGCUACCAUAGUGCACUUGGGAUUUCAGUUGGCACUUUAUGAAUCACAAAAGGUAGCUUAAUUAUGAUCCUACCUGCCAGACAUUUGUAGCAGCUCAUUUCCGUUUCUAAAAGUCAUUGCCUUAACAGACAAUGGGGUUACCCUUUGGAGUUGCCUCACUGGGACGUUCUCAGAUGAUAAUUCAUUAUCGGGCUGGAUUCGAGGAGAGAACACAGUAUUCUGUACAAGGGAAAUUUGGUACGGGUAAAAGUAAUGGAAGUAAAGGAGAUUAAAGCGUAUAGGAACGCCAGAUUAAAUAACAAACAUUACUCUAGUUGAUACUGGUAGGGUUGAGUACCCAAGGGAGGACCCCCCUCCACUUUUCUAGUCUUCAAAACCUACCAUGGGGCUAUUCUAGAAGAUCAAGCAUGAGCCUCACCACCUACUUAAUCAAAACAUGGAGAGGCAUGGUUAGCACUUGUUAAAUGUUUAAGGGAUACUGGUACCACACUAGUAGAACCUACUAGAAAUCUCUCUAGCUGCCAGACGAACUUCAUAGGGAAGUGUCUCGCCAGAUGUACUCAACUGUGAAAACAGCCUAUGGGUGUUUCUGGGGACUUAGAGAGUCCAGGACACAAGUGCCCUGAAGGAGCAUCACCCAGACAGGCUCCUCAGGCUAGAGACGUCUGUGCUAUGGAACCAGGAAACAAACCCAUGUCCUGCAGUGGCUUACUAAUACUUCACUGACAGGACCCCCAACUGACAGCUGGCAAAGGAUCAGAAUUCGUUUUCAUGGAGGCAGAAUGAAUUUGGAGUCACAGGCAGUUAAAAAAAAACUAAAAUAACUGUAAAGGGUAUUGGUAGUCACCUAAACUGAAUUAGGAAAGGCUUUCUUCUUGUAAUUAAAAAAAUUUCAUAGCCAGGCAUGGUGAUUACACAUUUUAAAAUCUCAUCCCUUAAUCCUAGCUAGAUUUCUCUAAUUUUGAGGCCGGUAUGAUCUAAAUAGAGCUUAGAUUGACCUUGAACUCCUUCCCAUACUUCCCAAGUGCUUGUACCACCACUGUAACUAGUUUAUGUGGUUCUGGGGAUGGAAGCAAGGGCUUUUUGCAUUGCUGUGCUAGCACUCUACCAACUGAACUAUGUUCUCACCUCAUUUUUUAAAAAAAGAUUUAUUUAUUUAUGUCUAUGAGUACACACUGUAGCUGUACAGAUAGUUGUGAGCCUUCAUCUGGUUGUUGUCACCCCAUUCUUUGACAUUACCCAAUGCCUUACUUAGUUGUGGAAUAGCAUGCACUCAUAGUUUCUUGAGUUUUGGGUAAUGGUAGCAUUUUAUUUAGGGGUGUAGCUGAGACUUGAUUAAUUUGUAGGCUGAGCCUUUUACAUUCUACAACUGAGUUUUAUCUUCAGUCUAUUCCUUGGUUUGGUUUGGUGAGGUAUUUUGAGACAGUUUCACUAAGUAGCCCAGUCUGGCCUAGAAUGUUCUAUUGUAGACUAACCUGGCCUCAAGCUCUUGGUGACCUUCCUGCUUUUGCUUCCCACAUGCUAAGAUUAUUGGCAUUACUCACCACACCUUGCUUAACUUUUUUAAGGCAAGAUCUCAAAGCUAGCCUUGAACUUAUCCUUUCAAGUACAAGAAUUUCAGCUGUGUACCACCAUGUCCAGUUUUAUGUGCUGAUGGGAAAUGAACUCAGGGCUUUAGGCAAGCACUCUAGCAGCUAUUAAGAUAUAUCCCAGCCCUGGCUUGGCUUUUUAAAAGUAUAUGUAUUUUAUUCAUAGGAGUCUUUUAUGUGCAUGUGUAUCUGUGUACCACUUGCUUGACUGGUGCCUAAGCAGUCUAGAAGAGGGUGUUGGAUCACCUUAUAGAUGGCAAGAGCUGCCAUACGGUUCUUGAAGAACAUUCAGUGCUCUUAACUGCUGAGUCAUCUCUCUCUUCCCUUGGCCAAUAAACAGUAAAAAGAAAAAGAAAAAAGAUGUUCAACCUCAGGAAAAUGCAAAUCAAAACUGUAGAGAUUCCAUUUACAUAUUCAGAAUGGCACUCAUUAAGAAAAUAGUGAAUAAUGGCAAGGAUGUGGAGAAAAGGGAACUCUUAGUGCUUGUGUGAAUGUAAGCUUGCACAGUCAUUAUAGAAGCCAGUACGGGUUUCUUAAAAUUAAAAAAUAUAUCUUGGGUAAACCCAAGCUAUACCAUACCUACCUAUUUACCCAAAGGACUUCAAAUCAACUAUUAGAGAGGUACUUCGAUUAGUACAUCGAUCUAUACUAUUCACCAUAACUAAGAUAUAGAACUAACCUAGUUGUCCAAGAGAGGAAUAUAUAAAGAAUCUGCUACAUUUACAAAAGGCAUUUUUUUUCAAUCAUGUUAUCUAUAGAAAAAUGGAUACAGCUGGAAAUCAUUAAGGGAACUUAUAAAACAAAUUGGUUUUUCUCAUCAUUGUUUCUAAAUUUUGUGUAGAUAAAGAGAAUCAUUCACUCGUACCUUCCAUGACUGUAGAAGGGAAGCUGUUUGAAGGGACCAAGGCAAGGGAGAAAAAGAAAAGGUUUGGGGGUGUAGAGGUGAGAAUAUACUCAACAUAAUGCAUAUUUAAAACAUUUACAACUCUUUUGAAACUUUGAUUUAUACUGGGGCAUGUAUAUGCGUACACGUAUUCCCAGGACGUUCUGUGAGAUGGGAACCGUGUGAGAGAAGCCCCAUGUUUACUCUUGCCUAGGGACAAAUUUUCUGAUAGCAUCGCACAGGGAAGUAGAGCCUGAGCAUAGUACGUAAGUGUUACUGGACAUGGGGCAGAGGUCAGAACUGGAGUUUCAGGGAGUAAGAAAAGCACAGGGUCCCCAGAUAUCACUUGGAGCUUUCCUUGUGGGUCAUUCAUUAACAACUAGCUUGAACAUUCACAGUGUGACAUUUUUCCAGGCCUAGAAACAAUUCUAGCUGCUGUGGAGUUGAAAGAAGAAGAGAAAUAUUAGAGGUCACAAGUGUUGAAGCUCUUGGGACUCUGCCCUAGCCAGAGUGGAGUCAGCUUAACUCCCAGACAUUCAGUUGAAAACCUGUCCCUGAAUAAGAACUAGCCUCUGUCCAGAGGCUUAACAAAGCCUAAAUUGUGCUUCACAGGGAGCAAGGAAAGUUACUGUGGCCCAAAACAAUGUUCUCCGUUUUUAAAACUUUUUUUUUUUUUGAGGUCGGAUCUCUCAAUGUAGCUCAGGCUAGCAUUAAACAGACCUAGCUUUGAAAUCUCUCCUCUCUACUUUUCUCCUCUCUCUUCCUUUUCUUUCUUUCCUUCCUCCCUUCUCUUCUUCCUUCCUUUCAUUCUCCUUUUUUUCUUUCUUUUUUCUCUCUUCUUUCAGCCGUUGUUUUGUUUUUGUUUUUGAAGCAAGGUUUCACCUUUAUAGCUCUGGAUGGCCUGUACUCACUGUGUAGACCUGGCUGGCCUCAGACUUGAAUACAAGGAUCAAUGAAUUUGGGCAUGAGGCAGAAGAAUCAGGAGUUCAAGGACAAUUUUAGCUACAUAGAGACAGAAAAUAAAUCCAUUGUAGCAUAGACUUAAGGAAUCUCAGAUGGAAAUUUCCUAUUGGAUUUUAACAAUAGUCACACAGUUCUUGUUAUUGAACCUAAAAUUACAAGUGUUAAGUUUUUGUCAGAAUCACUGGUAUGUGAUAGAAAUUUUAAAAGGCAGAACUGGAUUAAAGUUCAUCUGGCCUUAGGAUAAAAGUUGUUUAGAGGCAUAUGGAGACUCCAGCCCCAUCCUGUGCAUAGGUCUUUUGAGUAUCAGGCAAUGAGUGAAUAGUGUUGCCAAGUGCUACAGCCAUGAUAUGCGACCCGCAUUGCAGGCUCAUAAGCAAUAUGGUAAAUACUCUCAGGUACUUGCAGUUUAAAAGAAAGGUAAAGCAUAUACUCAUGCCAGCUUUAUAGUUUCCAAUAACUAGGGCCAGACAUGUUGGAUAACGCUUUUAAUCCUAGGAUUUGUGAGGCAGGGGCAGGAGUAUCACCAUGAAUUUAAGGCUAGUCCAAACUAGAGAGAAGUCCCAUUUGAAAGAAAAACUACAUAAAAAUUAGCUAGUAAUCAGAAAUGAUCAAAAUGUUUAUAGACUUGUGAGUGAAUAAACAAAAGGUCAUAUAGUCAUUUGGUGGGUAUACUGUAGCAAUAAAAAAAACAUGAGUAUAUAUUACAACAUACAAAACUUCAAAAACAACAAAGGAGGGGCUGACAACACGGCUUGCUCACAAGGGUGAGUAACUUCAGUUCCAGGGGGUCUUGCACCCACUCCUGUCCUGUGGGCACUGGAUGCACAUUACAUACUCAAAUGCAGGUACUCAACAGCUACGAAGAACCAUGUUGUCUAAUAUUGCAUUUAUGAUAAAAUAUUCAGGAAUGAUGAAUUUAGAGUCAGAGUUCUUAUAGGUUUGAAGAAGUAAAGAUUAGCUGUGCACAGAAUUUCAUCAAAGGAAAUUCCUCAUAAGCAAAUUACAUCUAUUCCAAAACUCAUAGUGGAUUUUGAAGAUGGUCGUACAGCUCUGUAAACUUGCCAAAAAAAUCUGUUACAGCUAUAGCUGAAAUUUGUGCUUUCGAAAUGACACCUCAAUAAAGCUCCUUUUACAAA